rnacentral:rRNA from 1 species
UUUGAUUUACAAAAAACUGCCAGUGAAAAAUUGGAGGAAGGUGAGAACGACGUCAAGCCCUUAUGGCCCUUAUAAGNNGGGCUACACACGUGCUACAAUGGUAAUUACAGCUAGUUAUACAAUAAAGCGAUUUGGAGUAAAUCUAUAAAAAUUACCGUGUUCGGAUUAAGGGCUGAAAUUCGCCCUUAUGAAGUUGGAAUCACAAGUAAUCGUAAAUCAGAACGUUACGGUGAAUUUGUACUUAGAUCUUGCACACACCGCCCGUCACAUGCCGGAAGUAGAUUUUGUUUGAAACUUGUCUUGUACAACAAAUAUUUUGAAAUGAAUAAUUUCUUUCAAAAGGUAUGUUAAUAUUUGACAAACUAUUAUAGAAUUUGUAACUGGGAUGAAGUCGUAACAAGGUAA